GUACACACCGCCCGUCACACCAUGGGAGUUGGCUGUACCAGAAGUCAGUCGCUUAACCUUCGGGAGGGCGCCGACCACGGUCAGGUCAGCGACUGGGGUGAAGUCGUAACAAGGUAGCCGUAGGUGAACCUGCAGAAGGAUCA
rnacentral:rRNA from 1 species